rnacentral:rRNA from 1 species
UACGUAGGGGGCGAGCGUUGUCCGGAUUUAUUGGGCGUAAAGAGCGUGUAGGCGGCCAGGUAGGUCUGGUGUGAAAACUCGAGGCUUAACCUCGAGAUGUCAUCGGAACAUCUGGCUAGAGUCCGGAAGAGGAGAGUGGAAUUCCUGGUGUAGCGGUGAAAUGCGCAGAUAUCAGGAAGAACACCAAUGGCGAAAGCAGCUCUCUGGGACGGUACUGACGCUGAGACGCGAAAGCGUGGGGAGCGAACAGG